rnacentral:rRNA from 1 species
AUCCCGGCAGAGGCUACUGCUAUUGGGGUUCGAUUAAGCCAUGCAAGUUGAACGAUUCUUCGGAAUCGUGGCGAACGGCUCAGCAACACGUGGAUAACCUACCCUUAGGACCGGUAUAACCCUGGGAAACUGGGGACAAUCCCGGAUAGGUGAUUUUUUCUGUAAUGAUUUUUCAUUUAAAUGCUCCGGCGCCUGAGGAUGGGUCUGCGGCAGAUUAGGUAGUUGGUAGGGUAAUGGCCUACCAAGCCGGUGAUCUGUACGGGUUGUGAGAGCAAGAGCCCGGAGAUGGAACCUGAGACAAGGUUCCAGGCCCUACGGGGCGCAGCAGGCGCGAAACCUCCGCAAUGCGAGAAAUCGCGACGGGGGGACCCCAAGUGCCACUCUUAACGGGGUGGCUUUUCUUGAGCGUAAAAAGCUUUUGGAAUAAGGGCUGGGCAAGACCGGUGCCAGCCGCCGGUAACACCGGCAGCUCUAGUGGUAGCCAUUUUUAUUGGGCCUAAAGCGUUCGUAGCCGGUUUGAUAAGUCUCUGGUGAAAUCCUGUAGCUUAACUGUGGGAAUUGCUGGAGAUACUAUUAGACUUGAGGUCGGGAGAGGUUAGCGGUACUCCCAGGGUAGGGGUGAAAUCCUGUAAUCCUGGGAGGACCACCUGUGGCGAAGGCGGCUAACUGGAACGAACCUGACGGUGAGGGACGAAAGCCAGGGGCGCGAACCGGAUUAGAUACCCGGGUAGUCCUGGCCGUAAACGAUGUGG